rnacentral:miRNA from 1 species
UGGCUCUGAUAUCGAUUGAUG